UACGUAGGGUGCGAGCGUUGUCCGGAAUUAUUGGGCGUAAAGAGCUCGUAGGCGGCUUGUCGCGUCGGAUGUGAAAGCCCGGGGCUUAACUCCGGGUCUGCAUUCGAUACGGGCAGGCUCGAGUUCGGUAGGGGAGACUGGAAUUCCUGGUGUAGCGGUGAAAUGCGCAGAUAUCAGGAGGAACACCGGUGGCGAAGGCGGGUCUCUGGGCCGAUACUGACGCUGAGGAGCGAAAGCGUGGGGAGCGAACAGG
rnacentral:rRNA from 1 species